GGUCAAGCGAACAAGUGCAUGUGGUGGAUGCCUUGGCGAUUACAGGCGAUGAAGGACGCGGUAGCCUGCGAAAAGCUUCGGGGAGCUGGCAAACGAGCUUUGAUCCGGAGAUGUCCGAAUGGGGAAACCCGGCCCGAAUGGGUCAUCCCUGACUGAAUACAUAGGUCAGGGAAGCGAACGCGGCGAACUGAAACAUCUAAGUAGCUGCAGGAACAGAAAUCAACCGAGAUUCCCAAAGUAGUGGCGAACGAAAUGGGAAGAGCCUUGUACUCUUUAGCAGCAUUGUUAGCAGAACGGGAUGGAAAGCCCGGCCAUAGCAGGUGAUAGCCCUGUAUGCGAAAACAGCGUUGUGGAACUAGGUGUACGACAAGUAGGGCGGGACACGUGAAAUCCUGUCUGAAGAUGGGGGGACCAUCCUCCAAGGCUAAAUACUCGUAAUCGACCGAUAGUGAACCAGUACCGUGAGGGAAAGGCGAAAAGAACCCCGGGAGGGGAGUGAAAUAGAUCCUGAAACCGCAUGCAUACAAACAGUCGGAGCCUGGAAACGGGUGACGGCGUACCUUUUGUAUAAUGGGUCAGCGACUUACAUUCAGUGGCAAGCUUAACCGAUUAGGGAAGGCGUAGCGAAAGCGAGUCCGAAUAGGGCGUUGAGUCGCUGGGUGUAGACCCGAAACCAGAUGAUCUAUCCAUGGCCAGGUUGAAGGUGCGGUAACACGUACUGGAGGACCGAACCCACUAACGUUGAAAAGUUAGGGGAUGAGCUGUGGAUAGGGGUGAAAGGCUAAACAAAUCUGGAAAUAGCUGGUUCUCUCCGAAAACUAUUUAGGUAGUGCCUCGUGUCUCACCUUCGGGGGUAGAGCACUGUCAUGGUUGGGGGGUCUAUUGCUGAUUACCCCGCCAUAGCAAACUCCGAAUACCGAAGAGUGCAAUCACGGGAGACAGACAUCGGGUGCUAACGUCCGGUGUCAAGAGGGAAACAACCCAGACCGCCAGCUAAGGUCCCAAAGAUUGGCUAAGUGGGAAACGAAGUGGGAAGGCUAAAACAGUCAGGAGGUUGGCUUAGAAGCAGCCACCCUUUAAAGAAAGCGUAAUAGCUCACUGAUCGAGUCGUCCUGCGCGGAAGAUGUAACGGGGCUAAGCCAGUCACCGAAGCUGCGGACGCACGCAAGUGCGUGGUAGGAGAGCGUUCUGUAAGCCUGUGAAGGUGUCUUGUAAAGGAUGCUGGAGGUAUCAGAAGUGCGAAUGCUGACAUGAGUAGCGAUAAAGGGGGUGAAAGGCCCCCUCGCCGUAAGCCCAAGGUUUCCUACGCAACGUUCAUCGGCGUAGGGUGAGUCGGCCCCUAAGGCGAGGCAGAGAUGCGUAGCUGAUGGGAAGCAGGUUAAUAUUCCUGCACCGUCGUAUGAUGCGAUGGGGGGACGGAUCGCGGAAGGUUGUCCGGGUGUUGGAAGUCCCGGUCCCUGCAUUGGAGAAGGCGCUUAGGCAAAUCCGGGCGCGGAAUUCAAGGAUGUGGGGCGAGCGGCCUAGUGCUGCGAAGCAAUUGGAAGUGGUUCCAAGAAAAGCCUCUAAGCUUCAGUCAUACGAGACCGUACCGCAAACCGACACAGGUGGGCGAGAUGAGUAUUCUAAGGCGCUUGAGAGAACUCGGGAGAAGGAACUCGGCAAAUUGGUACCGUAACUUCGGGAUAAGGUACGCCCUUGUAGCUUGACUGGCCUGCGCCAGGAGGGUGAAGGGGUUGCAAUAAAAUGGUGGCUGCGACUGUUUAAUAAAAACACAGCACUCUGCAAACACGAAAGUGGACGUAUAGGGUGUGACGCCUGCCCGGUGCCGGAAGAUUAAAUGAUGGGGUGCAAGCUCUUGAUUGAAGUCCCGGUAAACGGCGGCCGUAACUAUAACGGUCCUAAGGUAGCGAAAUUCCUUGUCGGGUAAGUUCCGACCUGCACGAAUGGCGUAACGAUGGCCACACUGUCUCCUCCCGAGACUCAGCGAAGUUGAAGUGUUUGUGAUGAUGCAAUCUCCCCGCGGCUAGACGGAAAGACCCCAUGAACCUUUACUGUAGCUUUGCAUUGGACUUUGAACCGAUCUGUGUAGGAUAGGUGGGAGGCUUUGAAGCGUGGACGCUAGUUCACGUGGAGCCGUCCUUGAAAUACCACCCUGGUUUGUUUGAGGUUCUAACCUUGGCCCGUGAAUCCGGGUCGGGGACAGUGCAUGGUAGGCAGUUUGACUGGGGCGGUCUCCUCCCAAAGUGUAACGGAGGAGUUCGAAGGUACGCUUGGUACGGUCGGACAUCGUACCUAAAGUGCAAUGGCAAAAGCGUGCUUAACUGCGAGACUGACAAGUCGAGCAGGUGCGAAAGCAGGACAUAGUGAUCCGGUGGUUCUGAAUGGAAGGGCCAUCGCUCAACGGAUAAAAGGUACUCUGGGGAUAACAGGCUGAUACCGCCCAAGAGUUCAUAUCGACGGCGGUGUUUGGCACCUCGAUGUCGGCUCAUCUCAUCCUGGGGCUGUAGCCGGUCCCAAGGGUAUGGCUGUUCGCCAUUUAAAGAGGUACGUGAGCUGGGUUUAAAACGUCGUGAGACAGUUUGGUCCCUAUCUGCCGUGGGCGUUGGAAUCUUGACGGGGGCUGCUCCUAGUACGAGAGGACCGGAGUGGACGUACCGCUGGUGUACCUGUUGUCUCGCCAGAGGCAUCGCAGGGUAGCUAUGUACGGAAGAGAUAACCGCUGAAAGCAUCUAAGCGGGAAACUCGCCUGAAGAUGAGGAUUCCCUGGAGGCUUGACCUCCUUGAAGGGUCGUUCGAGACCAGGACGUUGAUAGGCUGGGUGUGGAAGCGCAGUAAUGCGUUAAGCUAACCAGUACUAAUUGCCCGUAAGGCUUGAUCCUAUAAC
rnacentral:rRNA from 1 species